GGCCUAAACUCGUAGCUUGCUCCGAGCAUGGUUAUAAACCCAAUCAAGGUAAAAACCCCGUCGUCAGGGUUCCUUGAUUGGUCGUGCACCGAAAGGUGUGCGUUCGACCCGAAAGGGUUGA
rnacentral:sRNA from 1 species